rnacentral:rRNA from 1 species
CAGCUUGCUGCUUUGAGACCGGCGCACGGGUGCGUAACGCGUAUGCAAUCUACCUUGUACAGGGGGAUAGCCCAGAGAAAUUUGGAUUAAUACCCCAUGGUGUUUAAGAGUGGCAUCACUUUUUUACUAAAGUUCCAACGGUACAAGAUGAGCAUGCGUCCCAUUAGCUAGUUGGUAUGGUAACGGCAUACCAAGGCUAUGAUGGGUAGGGGUCCUGAGAGGGAGAUCCCCCACACUGGUACUGAGACACGGACCAGACUCCUACGGGAGGCAGCAGUGAGGAAUAUUGGUCAAUGGUCGCAAGACUGAACCAGCCAUGCCGCGUGCAGGAAGACGGUCCUAUGGAUUGUAAACUGCUUUUAUACAGGAAGAAACCCUCUCACGUGUGGGAGCUUGACGGUACUGUAUGAAUAAGCAUCGGCUAACUCCGUGCCAGCAGCCGCGGUAAUACGGAGGAUGCGAGCGUUAUCCGGAAUCAUUGGGUUUAAAGGGUCCGUAGGCGGUUUAAUAAGUCAGUGGUGAAAUCUGGUCGCUCAACGAUCAAACUGCCAUUGAUACUGUUAGACUUGAAUAAUUGUGAAGUAACUAGAAUAUGUAGUGUAGCGGUGAAAUGCUUAGAUAUUACAUGGAAUACCAAUUGCGAAGGCAGGUUACUAACAAUUUAUUGACGCUGAUGGACGAAAGCGUGGGGAGCGAACAGGAUUAGAUACCCUGGUAGUCCACGCCGUAAACGAUGGAUACUAGCUGUUCGGCGCAAGUUGAGUGGCUAAGCGAAAGUGAUAAGUAUCCCA